ACUCAAAGGAAUUGACGGGGGCCCGCACAAGCAGUGGAGUAUGUGGUUUAAUUCGAAGCAACGCGAAGAACCUUACCAGGUCUUGACAUCCCGAUGACCGCUGUGGAGACACAGCUUCUCUUCGGAGCAUUGGAGACAGGUGGUGCAUGGUUGUCGUCAGCUCGUGUCGUGAGAUGUUGGGUUAAGUCCCGCAACGAGCGCAACCCCUGUUGUCAGUUGCCAUCAUUUAGUUGGGCACUCUGGCGAGACUGCCGGUGACAAAUCGGAGGAAGGUGGGGACGACGUCAAAUCAUCAUGCCCCUUAUGACCUGGGCUACACACGUACUACAAUGGCGAUUACAAUGGGAUGCAAUAUCGCGAGAUGGAGCCAAUCCACAAAAAUCGCCCCAGUUCAGAUUGCAGGCUGCAACUCGCCUGCAUGAAGUCGGAAUUGCUAGUAAUGGCAGGUCAGCAUACUGCCGUGAAUACGUUCCCGGGCCUUGUACACACCGCCCGU
rnacentral:rRNA from 1 species